CUAAAGAAAAUUCAUAAAACUCAUCUACAACAUAACUAAACAUCACCACCCUAAUAAUUUUUUACUUUUUUAAUCUAAGAACCAUAAAAAUCAAAUCUUCUUUUUUCCCAACAAAAUUUUAUUAAAAAAAACUCAGAUGUUUUAGGUGGUUCUAUGCCACCCUUUCAGUCUCAAUUGCUCUUAUAACACACAAACGCACGGG
rnacentral:lncRNA from 1 species